GGGGAUGUAGCUCAGGGGUAGAGCAUAUGCUUGGCAUGUACAAGGCCCUGGGUUUAAUCCCCAGCACCAUUU
rnacentral:tRNA from 1 species